rnacentral:lncRNA from 10 species
AGUCGGAGGCCCGGCUGCUGGGGGGCACUGGGGCAGGCCUUACCGCCAACCCCGCACCCUCGGCCGGGAGGCUGCAGGUCGGUGGCUAACCCCAGGCGUGUCCCGGGAUGGGACCCGACUCUGCCCUCAGAGACAGGGACAGUCGGGCCAGGCCAACAAACAACCAAAAUCCCAACGUGUGCUGGGCUCACCCGGGACACCAGGGCCGGAGGGAGAGACCCGGGAAGUCACCGAGGCUGCAGGGGAGGCAGCUUUGGCGCUGGGCCUGCGGGAGCCUCUUGUAUAGGAAUUCAUAGCUACCGGGGUUACUGAGGAUGAGUUAGGCUUUGGAACCACAAGUAGAUUUAUUUUCCAAAGAAGAAGAAUAAAAUGGUGCAGGUGAAGAUGCGGAGGAACUGGAUGAGACGCAUAGGAACGCCACUGGGCAGCUCAAAGCGGUGUUCCUGUGAGUUCACCAUGGACCCCUUGAGCCACCGACGCCCCGCCCAGCCUUACACUCAGCAGAAACGCAUACAACAUGUGCUCCAAAAGACAGAAAGACAUGUAGCCGCACAUUCAUAAUUCCUCCAAUUGGGAAGCCUAGCGUCAUCAAGGCAGAUGAAUAUCGUGGAGUAUUCGGGCUUAGGAGCACGACAAACGGAACAGGAGUGAAUGAUCCGCAACUCACAUAACGGGGUGUCUUAUAAGUUUGAAGUUUGCAGAGAGCCCAGGAAAGCUUACCAAGGGGACCAGCAUGCUCACGCCUCUGAGGUUAAGGAGGCCCCUCAGGAAGAGGUGACAUGCGACUGGCCAGUGAAAGGUGAGCAGAGGUGGGAAGGGUUUCCUUGGUGGUGCCAGCUUUCCUGAUGUCUCUGCAAAAGUUUGGAGGCACCAGAGAUCCUGGUCCGUUUUGACUUUGGAUGGGGUGGGGUGCGGAAACAGCACAUCAGCAGAUGGCCCGAGGGAGGCAUUUCUGAGUUGGAACAGGUUGGGAACUCAUUACUACUUUGGUAUUAACUUAAUUCGUUUAAGCCAUCGGAGAAUGGGGUGCCCUGGAAGGAGUCUAGAUGACUAAGGGAAGGUGGUGGAGGGCGAAGGGGGAACCAGGGGACCUGGGGGAUUCAGAAAGAAGACGUAGAAACAGGCAGAGGGGUAGAAGGAAACCAGGAGAAGGCAAUAUCCAAGAAGGAAUCAAAAAGUGAUUCUGGGCAGGGCGUGGUGGCUCAUGCCUGUAAUCCCAACACUAUGGGAGGCCGAGGUGGGUGGAUCACUUGAGGUCAGGGGUUCGAGACCAACCUGGCCAAUAUGAUGAAACCCCAUCUCCACUAAAAAUACAAAAAUUAGCUGGGCAUCGUGGUGCAUGCCUGUAGUCCCAGCUACUUGGGAGACUGAGGCAGGAGAGUUGCUUGAACCCUGAAGGCGGAGGUUGCAGUGAGCCAAGAUUGUACCACUGCACUCCAGCCUGGGUGAUAGCAAAAAAAAAGUGAUUCUGGCUGGGACUGCCCAGUGUGGCCCAGUGCUCAGUGAAGCCAGGACUGAGAAGUCCCAAUGGGGAUGGAGCAGGUGGCCGCUGGCGAUGUGACCGGGGCCCUUUCUGGGGAUGGGGAGGGAGUGGCUGUGUUGUGGGUGGCUGAGAAGGGGGUGGGGAUGAGGAAACAGGGACAGUAGGAGGAGGUGACUCCUACAUUCAGCUAGGCACUGACACUGCCCUAGGCAGGCAGAGGGACUGCUGGGAGGAGGAGGGCUGAGCCAAGCCUGCAACAGCUGGGGAGGGAGGCCAGAGCCAGGAGAGAGGACAUGGAAACCUGGCCUCUCCCAGCCUUUCCUGAAGCUUCAAGAGCUUACUCCUGUUCUGAGGCACAGCCCCCACCAUUUUUUUUUUUUUUUUUUUUUUUUGAGGCAAGUCUCACACUGUCACCCAGGCUGGAGUGCAAUGCCACGAUCUUGGCUCACUGCAACCUCUGUCUGCCGGGUUCACGCAAUUGUCCUGCCUCAGGCUCGGGGGUAGCUGGGAUUACAGGCACACACCAUCAAACCCAGCUAAUUUUUUGUAUUUUUAGUAGAGACGGGGUUUCACUGUGUUGGUCAAACUGGUCUCGAACUCCUGACCUUGUGAUCCGCCUGCCUCAGCCUCCCAAAGUGCUAGGAUUACAGGCGUGAGCCGUGGCGCCCAGCCAAGGCGCCCCCUUUUUAGGCACUCACUCUAGUCCUCAUCCCAGGCCUGUCCUCCAUGGCCUCUCCACAUCCUCUUGUCCCUGUGGCUGGUGACUUGGAAAGCCAGGCACUGGGUGUCAGGGAAGUAGGCACCACCAUGGACCCCUAUCCCCCAGGACAAGCUAGAGGUCCUGACAGCCUGGGACAGGGUCUGAGGCCAGACCACCUGGGUUCCAAUCCAAGCUCGCUACUCUCUGGCUCUGUGGCAUUGAGCAUUUGACUUCUUGGUACCUUGUUUCCUCAUCUGUCACGUGGGGCAAGGAUUAGGACUUUGCACUUUGCACGGUCGUGAGAAUUGAAGGAGAUGCUGACUCUCAUCACAUAAGCCCCACAGAGAAAACUCUGUAAUGUAAUCACUGUCAGCUGCUGUGCUGGUGGUGACAGUGAUGUGCCUUCAGGACCACACAGGGGAGCACCAGUCCUGACCCCCUCCUCAUUCACUGUCUGGCUCUGGGCAAGUCCCUUUCUGGGCCUCAGUUUCCCUAUCUGCAAAAUGCAGGAGAUGGACCAGGAUGCUUCUAAGCAUGCUUCAGACCCCAAAACCCAGGCUGACUCUCGGCCCCCUUCUCUAGUUCUCAGCACAUCCAGCUUCCAGAGGCCCACUGGAAGAUCAUAGGCCUGAGAUUCUUGCAGUCCAGGCAUCCACCAUCCAUGAUGGGCCCUUGACCUCGCCCACUCCACACCGACCCUAGGACUUGGAAGACACAAGGAACUCAUGUGAACACCAUGCUUAAACUGCAGCUAUUAUUUUACUGCAACUAAUAAAGUCCCUGUCUCUGACCCAGGAGUCUCAGAACUGGAGAUUGGCAGUGCCUCUAUUUGAAUGGAGGUCAUCUGACUCCCUUUGUAUCUUGGGUUCUGUUUUUCAAUAAAAAUUAUAGCAUUGUAACAUUUCCCUGUCUUAUUAGAAAUCUCCAUUACAUAUCCAGUGAGUGGAUAUGUUUAGAAGUCGCAUACACAUUUACUUAACCACUCACUCUCUUAUUAGGGGACAUUUUCGUCAUUUAAACUUUGCAGCGUUAGAAAUGAUGCUGCCGUGAAACCUGUGCGCUCCAGGUUCAGCUGUACCUCUGCGGCUCCCAGCAGGAAUGGCCUAGAAGAGUAAGUGCUGCACCAAGAAACUGACAAAUUCACAAUCCAGAGAGAGACACAGCAGCUGUGAGUCUCUCCACUUCCAGCCAGCAUUGUGUCACCUCGUUGUUUAAUCUGA